rnacentral:lncRNA from 1 species
GAAGUGCAAAGGAAAAUGGGAACCUUUGUCUCCCACCAAAGAAGCUCAGGCAUGCCUCUCUCUCUUCUUUUCUUUUACAUUAAGCUAUUUUUUUGGUUGAAUUAGCUCAAUGAGUUGGGUUUUCUGGGAUUGCAUUGUGUGUAAAUGUCGAGCAUUGUUAGCAGAAGUCAAUUUAGUAAGAAUGAAGGAGAGAAAUUUGAAUUCUGUGUAGCAUUAAUAUUUGGGAAGUUUGUUAUACUUUCUCUCAUUGUUUCAACAAACUGAAUGAGCGGGAAAAUGUGAACUGAACGCGUGUUUACUGUGUGGUAGCCUAAUUUGGAACCGUUUAGAUUUUCUCAGCUGAAGAUGUUUUCUUUUUCUAAUUAGUGAUUAGAUAGAGUUCAUGCUGUUUAAUUUGGUCAUGUCAGGAAUUCCAUCUUUCACUUAUCAUGAAGGACUUCACAAGUUGCAAGUGACAGAAUACAAAAAAAACUGCCGAGCUGUUAGAAUCCGUCCUAAAAGAUCCUCUAGUAUAAAACUCGCAGGUGAGCAUAAGAUCCUAAACGAAUACAAAAAGCUGCCGAACUGUUAGGAUACAUCCUAAGUUGGAUGAUUAAUUUUUGAACCUUUUCUUCCAACAAAUCCGCAUGAACUGACCUUUAUUUCUGAACAGACCUGGGUAUUUUGUGCUGGGUAUUUUGUGCUGGAGUUUGUCAAUAAUUAGAUUGGGAAUUUUGUUCUUCAUAGCUUUCAAUUAAUUGUUGUUUUCGUAUAACUAUUGCCUAUUUGUUUCUGUUGAGGUAUUUUUUAUAACUUUUCUCUUCUCUUUUUCUGUUUAAAUUUAUAUGUUAUUCAUCUUUUGUGAGCAUUCAUUUCAGGAUUUUCCACGAAUUUCUGAGAAUUUCAUUUGAUCCAAACGAUGAGCGUUGAAAUUUUAGUACUUUUUGUUGUAGUGAAUUUUGGGUAAUUAUGUUAGCCGCGUCUAUAUUUGGGUUUGUUCUUUAUGAUUGGUUGUUGGUUAUGAACUUAGAUUCUUGGAUUUUUUUAUUUUUUUGUUGUUAAUUAAAUGGGAUUUUGUGUAAUGUACUACUAAGAUUAGUGCUCUGUUUUUGGACGGUGAGAGGAUGGGAGGAAAAGAAGCUGUUUUCAUUGUUGGGUUCUUUGAAAUUAGAAGAGAUGAAGAUGGAAGAGAAGCUACAUGAACGUUGUAUGGCUUUUUAAAUUGGCUUCAUGUGAACAUUGUAAUACGUUGUUAAGGAGAUACCUUGAAUUCUUCCUUAUUUGGACAGUACUGAAAUCAGUAAUGUUAAACCUCCUUUGUUUACGUUCCGUUCUUGGAGGAAACUCUAUAGUCUAUACACCUUUUGAUUUGCCAAAUAAUGUACACGCUGCGGUAUGUGCUUUAUAGCGCGUGUAAGCAUAUCCAUAUUUCUUGAGAGGGAUGAAGGUUUGUGUGGGUAUGCUAGGCUGAUAGCAUACUUUACAAGAUAUGUUAGCUUCGAAACUGAGUUGCUAGAGUGCUUCUUGGAUUUCAGAACAUUGGCUAUGUUCUAUGGCUCACCAGCCUAUACACUAUUAUACGUAAUAAGACCAAAAAAGUUGUUUUCCGAAAGCGAUAAUGAGCAACAAACCGGAACUGUUAUUGAAAGUGCACGCAUGUUCAAAUUAAUGUUUGUUGAAUGACCUUUUUUUUUCUUAUGGUUUCUUCAGAGUUUCUUUAAGGCUGCAUAUUUCUUUUUCAUUAUAUAAAAUAAUUGUCAUCUUAAUUUGUUUGGUUAAUAUAGGUAAGGAUGCUCUGUUAGUAGGCCAAGGAAAUAUUAAUGGAAGAAAGCAAUGUCCAGGUGGGGCCUUUUUAGUUUCUGUUUCAUAUCUUUCUUUGUAUGGCAUCAUGUCUUUCUCUGUUUCAUGUCACUCUCCUCUCUCUUUCCCUCUCCCUCUCCCUCUAUGUAGUUGAAUAGAAUUGAACUGCUCUGUUUAAUUUAAGAUUUAAUUAAAUGAAAGUUUUCGGUAUCAUAGAUCAAUAGUAGAAAAGAAAUGUAAGGUUCAGAUAGCGGAGAAAGAAAGAAGCCUAAAACUGAAGUAUGCUUUAUGCAGAUUAGGUCACACCAAAUUGUGAUAUUUAGAUACCAGAAUUUUUUUGAUUUGUUUGGUGCUUCUCAUGGGAUGAUGCCUUAUUUGGGGUUUUGGUCAAUUCCUUCCUCUUAAAGUGUUUACUAACUUUUUCAUGGCUCGAUAGAUAAUUUGAUAAGCCAAUGAUUUUUUUUCUUUGUUUCGGAACAUGGUUAACCAACGUGUUAACUAAUCAACAACAACAACAACAAAGCCUUUUCCCACUAAGUGGGGUCGGCUAUAUGAAUCCUAGAACGCCAUUUCGCUCGGUUUUGUGUCAUGUCCUCCGUUAGAUCCAAGUACUCUAAGUCUUUUCUUAGAGUCUCUUCCAAAGUUUUCCUAGGUCUUCCUCUACCCCUUCGGCCCUGAACCUCUGUCCCGUAGUCACAUCUUCGAACCGGAGCGUCAGUCGGCCUUCUUUGCACAUGUCCAAAUCACCAGAGCCGAUUUUCUCUCAUCUUUCCUACAAUUUCGGCUACUCCUACUUUAUCUCGGAUAUCCUCAUUCCCAAUCUUAUCAUUUCUCGUGUGCCCACACAUCCCACGAAGCAUCCUCAUCUCCGCUACACCCAUUUUGUGUACGUGUUGAUGCUUCACCACCCAACAUUCUAUGCCAUACAACAUCGCUGGCCUUAUUGUCGUCCUAUAAAAUUUUCCCUUGAGCUUCAGUGGCCUACGACGGUCACACAACACGCCGGAUGCACUCUUUCCAUCCAGCUCGUAUUUUAUGGUUGAGAUCUCCAUCUAAUUCUCCGUUCUCUUGCAAGAUAGAUCCUAGGUAGCGAAAACGGUCGCUUUUUGUGAUCUUCGCUAGAUUGAUCCGGUCAUUAGUGUGGAUAAGUAUAUAAAUGGAUAGAGAUAGGAAAGCAAACACAAGAUGUACGUGGUUCACCCAGAUUGGCUACGUCCACGGAAUAGAAGAGUUCUCAUUAAUUGUGAAGGGUUUACACAAGUACAUAGGUUCAAGCUCUCCUUUAGUGAGUACAAGUGAAUGAUUUAGUACAAAUGACAUUAGGAAAUAUUGUGGGAGAAUGAUCUCGUAAUCACGAAACUUCUAAGUAUCGGAGUGUGGUGUCGUCUUGACUUGCCUUAUCUGUCUCAUAGGUAGAUGUGGCAUCUUCUCUGGAAGUACUCUUCCUCCAUCCAGGGGUGGUAUCUUUAACUGGUGGAGAUGCACAAGGUAAUGUAUCAAUUUCACUUGAAGCUUACUUGUAGUUUCAGGCUUGGUCAAGCGCGAUACAAACCAUGUAGUAGGAGUCCCCCAAGUCGCCGAGCUAGGGGGUCUGCUGAAAGAGGUGACAGACAAGGUAAGUAAUCAGAGCUCCGACUGAUUGUUCACCUUCUCCCCAUCUUGCAGCAGCAUGAAGGAUAAAGAGAAGAAAAAUGAGAAGAGAUGAUAUGAGAUACUUUUGCUUUUGAAGAAGUAACUUUCCACAGGCUUAUUCUUGAACUGAGCUGGAGGGUUUUCUGGUUUCCUCCAGAGUAUAAGGCCGACUGAAGAAUUUGAGGGUCAAAACAAGUCCAUCAAUCUAGAGUACAUUCCACCCUGCUGAUAUGUGAUACUUUUGCUUUUGACAGAGUAAUGGAUGUAUCGGCACGUGUGCUGUUACGCUUGUCUCCACAUGCUUCCUUGUAUCCUUCGCACUUGCCCUAUCUGUUCCUCAAGCAGAUGCGGAAUCUUCCCUGGAAACAUAAGAUGUUGAAGAUGAGUACUCGAGAGUAAUGCCAGGUAAGUAAUCAGGUAAGGGGUUCCAGGCAGUCAGUUCCUGGCUGGAAGCUUGAUUCCAAGUGCUGAUUGAUUGCUCUCUUUCUCCUUGUCUUGCAGGUAAAAACAAGGCCAAAAGAAAAGACAGGGAAAAAGCAUGAUAUGGGAUACUCUUGCUUUUAACCCUGAUGAUAUGAGAUAUUCUUACUCUAGUAUAGCUUGUUUGCAGAGGUAUUAUCGGGGGGAAAGAAAGCUGAAUAUUUCGAAAGGCUUCGUUGGGAGUGCCCUCUCAGAUAUGAUGAAGGGUUGAGCAUUUUUGCAGGUCUGCCUGUCCGUUGGGGAUGGAGGUCGACAUAUAUAGGAGUCUCCCUAACAACAAGUAGUAAUGCUAUUCCUUUACCCUGCUUGGUCAUAGCACGGUAGUGGGAGUUGCCAGUUUCACAUGUUUUUAACUCUGUCAGAGCACUUUGAAAAAGUGGUCUGUGGUAUCUGGCUCUCGAGAUUCGGAGAACGAUGCCUCUUCGAUUUUUGAGAAAGCAAUCAUGCUGGGGGUCUGACUCUCGAGAUUCGGAGAGCAGUGUCUCUUCGAUUUUUGAGGAAGUAAUCAUGUUGGGAGUCUGGCUCUCGAGAUUCGGAGGGCGGUGCCUCUUCGAUUUUGGAGCAAGCAAUCUUGUUGGGAGUGUUGUCUCGAAUGUGAGUAAAGGUUGGGCAUGUUUGAUAGUCUACCCUGCCACGAAGCACAAAGGUUGACACACAGGGACUUUCCAAUUAUCCAGCAAUGGUACUGUUCCUUUACCCUCUCUUCGAUUUUGAGAAAGUAGUCAUGUUGGGAGUCUGACUCUCGAGAUUUGGAGGACGGUGCCUCUUCGAUUUUGGAGCAAGCAAUCUUGUUGGGAGUGUUUUCUCGAAUGUGAGUAAAGGUUGGGCAUGUUUGCUAGUCUACCUUGCCACGAAGCACAGAGGUUGACACACAGGGACUUUCCAAUUAUCCAGCAGUGGUACUGUUACUUUACCCUUGUGGGUAAUAAUAUGGUAGCUAGACCUUCAAAAUUUAUGUGUCUAAACUUUGUUAGUGCUGUUUCUUUGCUAUUCUUUUACCUUUCUUGGUCAGAACGAUGUAGUGGGAGCUGCAAGCUUCACGUGCUUAACUUUGGCAGAGAACUUUGGCAAAGUUAUCUGUGGUACCCAUGAGCUAUUGUUGCGUGUGGGAAGUGGGUGAUUGAACAGUAAGAUUCAUGUGCUUUCUACUUCACCAGAAGUCUUUGACAGAAUGCCCAUAAUUUCUGCAAAGCUGAGUGUGCGUGUGACAGGUGCUGACAAGGCUAGAAAAGUAGGUGCCUCUUCGAAUUCUGAGAUCGGCCCUCGUGGUCUCUGAGCAGCAGCCCAGCUUUUUGAGAAAGUGAGCGCCUCUUCGAUUGAUUCGGAGAACGAUGCCUCAUCGAUUUUUGAGAAAGCAAUCAUGCUGGGGGUCUGGCUCUCGAGAUUCGGGGAGCAGUGUCUCUUCGAUUUUUGAGAAAGUAAUCAUGUUGGGAGUCUGGCUCUCGAGAUUCGGAGGGCGGUGCCUCUUCGAUUUUGGAGCAAGCAAUCUUGUUGGGAGUGUUUUCUCGAAUGUGAGUAAAGGUUGGGCAUGUUUGCUAGUCUACCUUGCCACGAAGCACAGAGGUUGACACACAGGGACUUUCCAAUUAUCCAGCAAUGGUACUAUUCCUUUACCCUAUCUUCGAUUUUUAAGAAAGUAGUCAUGUUGGGUGUCUGGCUCUUGAGAUUCGGAGGACGGUGCCUCUUCGAUUUUGGAGCAAGCAAUCUUAUUGGGAGUGUUUUCUCGAAUGUGAGUAAAGGUUGGGCAUGUUUGCUAGUCUACCUUGCCACGAAGCACAAAGGUUGACACACAGGGACUUUCCAAUUAUCCAGCAGUGGUACUGUUCCUUUACCCUUGUGGGUAAUAAUAUGGUAGCUAGACCUUCAAAAUUUAUGGGUCUAAACUUUGUUAGUGCUGUUUCAUUGCUAUUCUUUUACCCUUCUUGGUCAGAGCGAUGUAAUGGGAGCUGCAAGCUUCACGUGCUCAACUUUGACAGAGAACUUUGGCAAAGUUAUCUAUGGUACCCAUGAGCUAUUGUUGCGUGUGGGAAGUGGGUGAUUGAACAGUAAGAUUCAUGUGUUUUCUACUUCCCCAGAAGUCUUUGACAGAAUGCCCAUAAUUUCCGCAAAGCUGAGUGUGCGUGUGACAGGUGCUGACAAGGCUGGAAAAGUAGGUGCCUCUUCGAUUUCUGAGAUCGACCCUCGUGGUCUCUGGGGAGCCCAGCUUUUGAGAAAGCGAGCGCCUCUUCGAUUUCUUAGAUCGGCCUUCGUGGUCUUUGAGCAGCCCAACUUUUGAGAAAGCAAACGCUUCUUCGAUUUCUGAGAUCAACCCUCGUGAUCUCUAAGCAGCCCAGCUUUUGAGAAAGCAAACGCCUCUUCGAUUUCUAAGCAGGCGCCUCUUCGAUUUCUGAAGCUCCGUCGAGUGCAGAUUUUUAUAGAGGCUGGCAUUAAGUUCCAAAGCACACUUGAAUCUCCACCAGUAGAAGCUUCAUUCUUGCACUUCUAAGAUCUUGAUUUGUCCGACCUCUUCUCUCUUCAACACCUUUGAAAAUGUCUGGCCCCUCCGACCGUCGUUUUGACUUGAACCUUGUUGAAGAGGCAGCCCUGCCUUCUCCAGACAACAUAUGGCGCCCAUCCUUCGUCUCCCUUACUGGUCCUCUUACCGUUGGGGAUUCCGUGAUGAAGAAUGAUAUGACCGCUGCGGUGGUGGCCAGGAACCUUCUCACUCCCAAAGAUAACAGACUACUUUCCAAACGGUCUGAUGAGUUAGCUGUUAAGGAUUCGCUGGCUCUCAGUGUUCAGUGUGCAGGUUUUGUGUCUAAUAUGGCCCAACGCCUAUUUGCUCGAACCCGCCAAGUUGAAUCAUUGGCGGCUGAAGUGAUGAGUCUCAAACAGGAGAUUAGGGGGCUCAAGCAUGAGAAUAAACAGUUGCACCGGCUCGCACAUGACUAUGCUACAAACAUGAAGAGGAAGCUUGACCAGAUGAAGGAAACUGAUGGUCAGGUUUUACUUGAUCAUCAGAGAUUUGUGGGUUUGUUCCAAAGGCAUUUAUUGCCUUCGUCUUCUGGGGCUGUACCGCGUAAUGAAGCUCCAAAUGAUCAACCUCUGAUGCCUCCUCCUUCUAGGGUUCUGUCCAGUACUGAGGCUCCAAAUGAUCCCCCUCCGGUGCCUUCUCUUUCUGGGGCUCUACCGACUGCUGAGACUUCUCCUAAGCAACCUUUGUGAAGGCUCCCUCUUGUAGUUUAUUUUGACUCAUGUAUAUGUACAUAUUUGUAGCUUAUCGGGGAUAUCAAUAAAUAAGCUUUCCUUCAUUUCAACGUAUUGUGUUAAAUACACCAAAGCCUUCUUCGCUAAGUUCUUUGAAUUUUCUUUUGUUGAAACUUGUAUGUUGAAGCUUUCUGAGUGGAGCAUAUAGGUUGGGGUAGUGUUCCCUUAAUUUCCCGAGUGAGGAAAACUUCUCGGUUGGAGACUUGGAAAAUCCAAGUCACUGAGUGGGAUCGGCUAUAUGAAUCUUAGAACGCCAUUGUGCUCGAUCCUGUGUCAUGUCCUUCGUUAGAUCCAAGUACUCUAAGUCUUUUCUUAGAGUCUCUUCCAAAGUUUUCCUAGGUCUUCCUCUACCCCUUCGGCCCUGAACCUCUGUCCCAUAGUCGCAUCUUCUAAUCGGAGCGUCAGUAGGCCUUCUUUGCACAUGUCCAAACCACCGUAACCGAUUUUCUCUCAUCUUUCCUUCAAUUUCGGCUACUCCUACUUUACCCCGGAUAUCCUCAUUCCUAAUCUUAUCCUUUCUCGUGUGCCCACACAUCCAACGUGUUAACUAAUCGAUUACGAUAAAUUGGAUCGGUUGUUGCUUUUUUUUUUCUUCUGCAGUAUCUCAGCGUCACAUGAGACCAGUCUCGGAAGUUCCCUAAGAAGAAGUUGGCUUCGAAUGAGAUGUCCCCAAAGAAGUUGAAGUGAGCUGGUUCUUUCCUCAUGAAAGUCUUUGGCUUCUCUUAGUAAAUUUUGUUUUGUGGUUUGUUCUUUCCGCAAGAAAAGUUCAUUGCUUUACUUAUACUUCCAUAUAAUAACAGUUUUGAUAAGGUGUUCAUAAACUACUUAAUCCACACCUUUUGUUAUGUAAUAUAUUCUACGAACACUUAUCUUCUAUUCUUUAUUGAACAUAAGGAUGCAAAUAAAUUUUGAUAUGGAUG